rnacentral:lncRNA from 1 species
UCGCUCUCCGACUCCGGCAUCGACGAGGUCGCCAUCCUCUCACCCCCGUCGCGGAGGAACCCAUCAGCCUCCCUCGAACCGGAACUACUUCCGCCGCCGCCCCCCGGGGAAAGGCAGAUUUGCGGAGUUUCAGAAGGUCUCUCAGAGGACUCAGAACCGUCGUCGGGCCCAAAAGGACUCUAGAAGUUUGUACGUUGCCUAGUAUUGGGGCUGCGGUCAGCUGGGCCCGGGGACUACUUUCUCUCGUGGCGGAUGGCUACACGGGAAGUGGAGUGACGUCACGCAGGUCCCAUCCUAGGCUCCCAGGACGAGGCGCGGCGGAGGCUCCGAGCUCUCGUGGGCGUGGCCUCCAGCGUCUAGCCACACCUCCAGGGGUCGCUUAGGGAACCGCAGCGACCUAGGAUGGCUUAGAGGCGUUCAGAGGGGAGGAGACGUCAGUGUUUUUCUUGGCUUUUCACCUAUAGCUUAAAGGUCCUCUCGAUCCGGAUCGGGUCCUCCGGGGUUAGGUUUGCUGUACCGUGGGGAGGGAGCGUAUACAGAUGGGAAAACAGAUUUGAGGACAGGAAAGGCUGAUCCGGAGUCACAGCUAAGGCGACUUGGCAGAUAGGGAGGUCAGGGAGUUUUGGAGAUUUAAUGCUUGGACCAUGGUGCACUUCGAGCUGUAUUUUUUUUUUUUCUUUUUUUCGGAGCUGGGGACCGAACCCAGGGCCUUGCGCUUCCUAGGCAAGCGCUUUACCACUGAGCUAAAUCCCCAACCCAUGUAUUUUUUAACAUUAUUAGGACUGUAGGUUCAGACACCCAGCUGUCCUCUGGUCAUUGUAGAUAGUGUAGGUGUGUUUAGAAGUUGGGGAAUUAGCUCAGUGGCAAACAUGAGGCCCUGGGUUCGAUUCUUAGCAUACACACGUGCGCAGUAUUAGGUAUUUUUAGAAGCCUGCAGUUCUUGGGCCCACUGUGGUGGCUUAGACUUUUAAUCCAGCACUCGGGAGAGGCAGGCUAACCUCAUUUGAGUUCACAUAGACCAGCUGGGGCUACGUAGUGAGUUUUUCCCAGAAUCCGCAUGGUAAAAGGAGAGAACAGUCUCUUCCAGGCUGUCCUCCCACCUCCACAUGCUUUUUGUCGCAUGUGUGCCCUCACAGACAUAACAAUAAAUAAAUGCUUAAAGCCGG